UGCCAUUUUUUUCAGUCACUGUGUGUUAUUGAUUCCACGGGGACUGUCAACAAUGGUUUG
rnacentral:pre_miRNA from 1 species